rnacentral:rRNA from 1 species
GCCUCGCCUGUUUACCAAAAACAUCGCCUCUUGCCAGUAACGAAUAAGAGGUCCAGCCUGCCCAAUGACCAUGUGUUAAACGGCCGCGGUAUUUUAACCGUGCAAAGGUAGCGUAAUCACUCGUCUUUUAAAUAAAGACCCGUAUGAACGGUAAAACGAGGGCUUAACUGUCUCCUUUUUUAUGUCAAUGAAAUUGAUCUCCCCGUGCAAAAGCGGGGAUUCUCACAUAAGACGAGAAGACCCUGUGAAGCUUCAGACACUAGGACAAGCUAUGCUAUAUACCCCUAUUAAAGAACUAAGCCACUGAACUCUGUCCCAAUGUCUUCGGUUGGGGCGACCACGGAGGACCACAUAACCCCCGCGUGGAAUAGGAGCACUUAAACAACCACCCUGCUCCCACAACUAAGAGCCUCCGCUCUAACGAACAGAACUUCUGACCAAAUAAGACCCGGCAACGCCGAUCAACGAACCAAGUUACUCCAGGGAUAACAGCGCCAUCCUCUUCCAGAGCCCCCAUCGACAAGAGGGUUUACGACCUCGAUGUUGGAUCAGGACAUCCUAAUGGUGCAGCCGCUAUUAAGGGUUCGUUUGUUCAACGAUUAAAGUCCUACGUGAUCUGAGUCCAGACCGG